GGGAGAAGGAAGGGCGCCCGGGGAGCAGGCUGGCAGAGUGACCGGGAUUGAUGAGCGGCGCAGCUCUGGAGGGACGCGGGCGAGAGGGUCGCUCCUCGGGGAGAGGGCUGGGUGUUGGCAAAGCAGGUACCAGUAUUUCACGGAAGGAGAAGGAAGAACCGCCCAGGACUGUGUAUAAAUGUCUAUGGGAAUAUUUUUAAGGAUUCAAAAGGCUAGAAGGAGGUGAGAUCAAAAAAUUUUUCCAGCACCACCCAGUGCAACCCGAUCCUGGACACAGAAAUCUAAAAGAUGAUACUUAAAUACUUGAGUUUGAGAGCCUCUAGUUAUAAGGUUUCCUACGUAACAACCUCUCACUUUUCUCAAAAACUGGCUAGUUGACAACCGGCAGUCAAGUUUUGGCUAGUCAAGAAGCUACUUUUUCCUGCAAUAAACCACAUUUAGAGAUAGUACUGGGCUUCAGCAGGAUUGAGGCUAUAUUGAGGUCGCAAGUAUGAACGAGGUACCCACAGAGAUGGGAGGGCCAGGAGAUCCUACUCAUUCAGUACCUCAGAAGCUAUGACACGGGAUAACAGUAGCUUCAGCCCUUUGGAUGAAAUAAUCCUCACUCCCUCAAAAGUGCUCUCUACCCACUCAAAACACAGGCCAUACUACCACCAAUCUGGUAGACUUCAAAAGUAAGGUCUUUCAGCAGCAGAUUUCCUUGUUAACAGGAAGGUACUGACAAGCUUUACCUAAGCCUAUUGGAGCUAUGUUGUAAUUCUGUAUAUAAAUAGAACAGUCGCUGCAGGAAUACUGGAUGAGUCAGAAGAAAGGUCUGUCCUAAGCUGAUGUGACACAUUUCAAAAGGACCAGAAAUUAGAUGCAAUUGAUGACUGAGUUGAUCUCUAAGUGGAUUUAUCUUUGAAAUAAAAAUCAGUGGAUAUCCCAUAUACCCGACCCCACACCCUCCCCCAUUGUCAACAUCCCCAACCAAAGUAGCACAUUUGCUACAAAUAGUGAACCUACAUUGCCAGAUCAUUAUCACCCAAAGUCCAUAGUUUACAUUAGGGUUCACUCUUGGGGCUGUAUAUUCUAUAGGGUUGGACAAAUAUAGAAUAACAUGAACCCACCCUCAUAGUAUCAUAGUAUCAUACAGAGUAUUUUCACUGCCCUAAAAGUCCUCUGUACACCACCUAUUUAUCCCUUCCUCCCCCCAGUCUCUGGCAGCCACUGAAGUUUGACUGUAUCCCUGUCUCCUUAGUUUUGCCUUUUCCGGAAUGCCAUAUAUAAGGAAUCAUACAGUAUGCAGUCUUUCUUUCAAUUUUGCUGUGAAACUAAAACUGCUAAGAAAAUAAAGUCUUAAAAAGAAAAAUCAAUGGAGAAGGGAAAGCCUAUGAUAAGAGGAGAUGAAUGCCUGCUAAAGCGACCAGAAGGCUCUCAGUAAAAAGUAUUCACUAGGUAUCAAUAGAAUCUGCAAAACGAAGAGGUGCUUGAAAGAUGUGAAAGAGGAAACUUAAAGAGAAACCCAGAUGGUACAUCUCUCUUCCUGGCUAGAUAGAUGGAAUGUACAGCCAGAGGAUUGGAUGAGGUCAUCGACGGAGAGAAUGCAGAGAGAAUCCUGGGGCUCACCAACAUGAAGAAUUUGGGACAAGAAAGAAGAUCCAGCAGAGAAGACUGAAAGAAGGCAACUAAUGAAAUAGGAGAGAACCUGGAGAGCACAGAGUCUUAGAGGCCAAGAAAGUGGUUUAAUAUAAUCCGUAUCAAAGCAUUUGUGGUUUAUUUUUGUUAACUGACAAAAGGAUUCUAAAACAUACCUGAAAAGUAU
rnacentral:lncRNA from 1 species